GUGAAAGGUCUAUUUUUUCCUGUUCCAGAGACUUUACCAACAAAUUCAGAUCAUGUUCCUUAGUCUUAAAAUUGUCAAUCUCGUAACUAAGUUCAUCAUUUUUUUUAUUGAGAAUAUCAAGUGUCAAGCAACCUCAGCUACACUGUAUAAUACUGUAUAUUUUAGAAUAUGGUGUAUAAUACUUAUUUAAUACAAAAAUGAACUUAUGAAAAUACACAAAAUGAUUAUAUAUUGUUUAGGCAAUUUCAUCCUCUGAAUCCUCACUAUAACUUGAUCAUGUUUCUCAAGCUUCGUGAUCAAGCUUCUGUGCAUCUUAAAUUAUUUAAAAUGCACUUGCAUUGUUUUGUAGUGCAUCCGCUUUUUUUGCACGCACAAGCUGUUAAAUAAAGGAUAUCAUCGGGUGCUAUGUUUGGACAUGUUGUCAAUGUUGCAACAUACAUAUUUCCUGAUUUUGUCCAGCCAUAAUCAUCUGGGUCAAGUUGGUUGACCAUAUUUUUAUCAGAAUUAAUCCAAAUAUACGUCUGUAAUCUUGCUCUUUUUAGAGCGGGGAUGAAACUUGAUUGUGUUGUAGUAAGUUGUUCACUUUCCAUUUGAUGUUUGGAGAACAACCACCAUCUUAAUUCUUUGAGCGUGUUUAAGUUGGAUUUUGGUGAGUACACUAAGCAUAAAAAUCGCUCAAUUUCGGAUAAUAUUUUCUGCAAAUCAACUUCAAUAUUUCCAAGAUCUGCAAGGGCUCUUAAUAUGUUUUCAUCAGCAACCAAGAAUGUUUUGAAAAACGAAAGUUUUCCUAAAAAUCAAUGAAUUCUUAAAAGUAAUUUGGCAAUAGUUAAAAAAAAAUGCAUACCUUUUCUAAAAAAUCCCCCCGUAGUGUCGCAUCCAGAUAAAGCAUGAAAUGCGGGCAGGGCUUCUCUUUGAAGCAUCGAUGUUCUCUUUACUAUCUCUGAAACAUCUAUUAUUCUUUUAUGUGUCCCUGUACCAGUUUGAAAAUAUAUUUGGCAUCGUAAACUUUGGUAAUAUUUUACCAGUAGAAUAAAAACAUCAGUAUCUAAAAAAUUAAGAUAUAUUUACGUAAUGGUAAUUAAGAAAUAAUAAAUUUAGAACUUACCUGGCGAACACACUGUGAUACAUGUAGAGUUCUGAUUUAAUAUAUUAUUUGAAACAUAUGCUGCAUGUAAAAUAUUUUUUGUGUCUGCUUCUUCUUGAUUGCUUCCAAGAGAGUCAACAAAUCCCGUUUCCAUAGAAAUGCCACUAGUACCAUAGGAUAUCAAGAUCUUUUUGCCGGUAAAUACACUCGACUGCACAAUUUUAUUGGCCAAAUAUUCUGUUAACUGAUUUUUUGUUUCAUUGUUUGAUAGGAUGUCUUUCAUACCCACAUUAGAUAUAUUCGUUGAAUUUUUAACAUAGAACUGUUUUGAUUUAUCAUACUUCGAUCUCGAGUAAUUUGUUUUAAAGAAAAAUCAAUGUGUACUUCAUUAUAUUUCUGAUAUUUUGUGUGUAGACUUUGAAUAAAAUAAUUAGCAUAGUCGGAAAAUGUUUGAAUAUGUUUUGGCUUGAAACUAGAAUGCAACUCCGCCAUGCCGUCAGUCAGUUAUAAUUUCUUUUGACCGCCAUGCCGUCAAUUACUUACUGACUGAAAAUUUCUAGUUAUAUCGACAAACUUACUACGAUUUUCUUCUGGGAUUAAAUCUUCCAAGGCAUGCAAUAAUUUGGCUUUAUCACUGUGCAUAUGCAUUGAUCCACCAAGGCCAAAAAGUGCUCUGGGAACAGGUGAAACUUCGUAUUUUCCAAUUACAUCUUUUAGGUUUAUAUCCGGUCGCGAUCUGCAUACCACAAGCAGGCGGGAAAAUAGUGAUCUAUCCGCUUUAAAUUCCUUAAUACAUUGGUCUUUUUUAGUCACUACCUUUUUAUUUGCUUCUCUACAUAAGUGUAGCCUAAGUUUUUUUACUGGGGCCCAAAGAUUUUCUCACUGGUGUAUAUCCGGUUUUGCUUAAAUUCUUCAAAUUUUUCAGAGCCAAUUUUGCUUAAGUCGCAUACAUCUUUUUUAAUCUCCUUCUUCAUUACUGCUCCUGAAUACAUAUUAUUAUACUUAUUUUUGUGUUCCCGUGCUUCAUAAGCUCCUAAACAUGAAAACGGUAUAUUUCUCAUAUUUACUACCCAUUGUCCCGAAAGAAACUCGUUCCAUAAUGAAGUACCCCCUAACUGUCUCAUUUCACAUAAGUACCAAGCAAUCAUUCCUGAAUAAUUGUGCAAAUCCAAUGCAAAAAAAUAUUUUACAAAGAUUUCAAGGGAUGUCAAAUGAAGAGUCCAAUCUGCUGUUCGGAUAGACUUUACUUGUAAUAGCAUUGCCUCAACCAUUUCUAUGUAUUGCCAGAUCAUUUGAAAGGUUGCUGCUCUCUAGCCUUUUAUUGAAUUCUUCAAUUUUUUCUAAUAAUUUACAUUUGCUUAGGUCGAAAAUCAGGGACUCAUGUUUUGAUUCGGACGAUGUAGCAUUCACGUCAAAAUAAUUAAUUUCUUUUAAAAAGUUUAACUCUGAAUAUGUUUCAAAAAGUUCAUUGAAAUUCAAAAAAUAUAGGGCAGUGAGGGUGCAUGUAUGUGCUGAUAUAGCUCGUCUUAAAUGCUUGCCGCUUAGAAUCUGUGAUAUAACACUAUCGCUGUAAAUUUCAUUCCAGAUGUCUGGUAUUCCUGUACCUUCUAUAAAAUUGCCAAUCGCUCGUAAUUCUGCCAUUAAUAUGUGUAAUUCUCCUGCUCUUAAGAUCCAAUUUUUUGAUAGCUCUGGCUUCCUCAUCAUAAGCUCUUUUACAGGCAAUUUUUACAAAUGUAAGUUGUACUGAUGUAUUUGUAGGGGAUUCAGUUAUAAUCGGUAAAACACAAACCCUUGUUUUUUUUUGCAGUUUAUUUUUGCAGACUAGCGAAUUGUAUCCCGCCCAAGUAGGUAUAUCACCCAUAUCAGUUUCAUUACGAUACUCAAAAUAUUUUAAAGAAAUCCAGGCUAAAUAAUUUAAAUGGGCAUUUUUUAAUUCACUUGAAGAUGCAAUGGAACUGGCGGAUAUGUUGGCUAAGGGGUCGGACGUCGGUUUUUCCUUUUUAUUUAUUGUACAUGGCAAAAGUGAAUUAAGUUCAGGAGGGACAUAUUUAAGAGAUCGGUUUCGUGUAGUACCUUCUGAGAGGUUAAAUACAAGUCUUUCGUCUGCUGCGUCUAUAGAUUGAUAAACUACUACUACGUACUAGUGCCAUGUAAAGUGUUUUUGCCAUUAAAAGUGUCUUCUAAAAAGUCUAUAUUAUCGGCUGCACAAUAAAUAAAUCUGUUCGGUUGCAAAUCUGGUGGUAUAUACACAUUAUUAUUUUCAUUCAUUUGUUGCAUAGUAGCUGUCGCAAUUUGUGUUUCAAUGCGAAGAAUUUUGUCAUAUAGCACAGAGCAACCUAAAGCAUGUAGUUCAUUAAUUCGUUCUUUGCUUCUGUUAGUAUGCAACGAAGAUAGCCCUACAGCAAUUUGAAGUGGAUAAUAUCGGCUUGUUCUCUUUGAUUGACUAUUAGUAUAAAUUUAUUGAAUGUAUUGUUUUGAAGAGUGCAUUUCAUACAUUAGUAUUUGAGCCAAUAUCAAUGAAGUGCUGAUUGUUUCCUGGCAGUCUAGUCCCUCGAUGCACCAAGUAAAAAAUUUCUGAAGCACUUCUGGAACCAAAGUAUCGUUAUUUAAAUCUAAUGAGCCAGUAUAUUUCCAAAUUUCUUGUUCAAAAACUGCUUUUCUAAUAAUUUUAGCAGCAUCAGCUACAGUUUUAAGGUCCGCUUCGAUGUUCUGAGAGUUAGAGCUAUUAAUUGCACAACUUUUAUCCCUAAUUUUUUGUAGACAUAAUUUUUGAGGUUUUCGAGGCUUUAAUGAAUUAAUAAAACAAACUGCACAUUAGCAUAUCACUCGGAAGAAUAUUAUUUUUAGAGCAAAUUUUCACAUACCAACCAUAUGCUUCUUCCAUAUCCGUUAUAAUUUCUUUUGACAAUUCGAACCAAACUUUUUUGAAAAAGAGCGUUUCAGCUGUCUUUAAGUUAAUAUUCAACUCAAUAUUUUGAAGCAGCUGAUUUAUUUAAUAAUAUUUGUAACAUUUUCAUUCCAACAGUUUUUAUGAUAUGUAAUAUCAUUUGCAUGAGCAUCGACAUUGGACAAAAACCCUGACAAUUUGGUCAGAAACUGUGUAUUCUUUGACAAAAAAGUCGCGUCUUGUAAUUUUUCUCCAGCAUCAGUAGCUACUUUAUGUAGAGUAUUUGAUAUACCUUUCUUUUUAUUAAAUAACUCUGGUUCUCCGCAAAAAAAAACAUAAAUCCAUGGAGACAAAAGCUUUAGUAACAGAACGCAGUUUUUCCGUGUGCCCUUAUGCGUGGCGUUACUAUUUGUAAUCUAUGUUGUAUAUAAUCUAAUUUGUAUAUGCCAUCCAACACUCCUCCUAAAUGUCUAAACAUUAAAAUUAUUUUUAAACUUACUCAAAUGUUCAUAUAAUGGGUCUUGUAGCUCAAUAUGUAUCUGUAAACACUCUACCAACCGCCCAUAGCUAUCUGGAUUAAUUAUUAAUUUACAAUCUUUUUUUUCAGUUUGGCAAAUACAACAUUUAAAAAAAUCACAAUCCAUGAUUCACUGAAACAAGUAAUAAACACUCGACAAGAAUAAACACGACUAUAACGAGAUGACAAGAACGCGACACGCACGUAAAAAUAUAUGCAAUGCCUUUUACUACGCCGGCACCUCUCGUGCUUGUAAGGUCAUUAAGCGCCGUCAGCAACUAAAUCCGUUGCGCGUCAUAGCCAUGUUGUCAAGUUAUCGUAAAAAUCUGUUUUUUUUUUUU
rnacentral:lncRNA from 1 species